rnacentral:rRNA from 1 species
CGAGCGGAUGAAGGGAGCUUGCUCCUGGAUUCAGCGGCGGACGGGUGAGUAAUGCCUAGGAAUCUGCCUGGUAGUGGGGGAUAACGUCCGGAAACGGGCGCUAAUACCGCAUACGUCCUGAGGGAGAAAGUGGGGGAUCUUCGGACCUCACGCUAUCAGAUGAGCCUAGGUCGGAUUAGCUAGUUGGUGGGGUAAAGGCCUACCAAGGCGACGAUCCGUAACUGGUCUGAGAGGAUGAUCAGUCACACUGGAACUGAGACACGGUCCAGACUCCUACGGGAGGCAGCAGUGGGGAAUAUUGGACAAUGGGCGAAAGCCUGAUCCAGCCAUGCCGCGUGUGUGAAGAAGGUCUUCGGAUUGUAAAGCACUUUAAGUUGGGAGGAAGGGCAGUAAGUUAAUACCUUGCUGUUUUGACGUUACCAACAGAAUAAGCACCGGCUAACUUCGUGCCAGCAGCCGCGGUAAUACGAAAGGUGCAAGCGUUAAUCGGAAUCACUGGGCGUAAAGCGCGCGUAGGUGGUCCAGCAAGUUGGAUGUGAAAUCCCCGGGCUCAACCUGGGAACUGCAUCCAAAAC